CGUGUGGCUUCUUUAGACUCAGUUAGAAGCUUCCACUUUCUUCUCAGCAAUUGUAUAUCAGUGAUUAGAAUGAAACUCUGGAACGAUCCGCAUUUCUUUUUCAUCUCUAACCAGAAAAAAAAAAAAUAACACAUGCAAGCAACUCUCUCGUCUUCUUAUCCUCAUCGGUGACGCCAGGUACCUGAACCUCGCAUAAGGUUUAAUGAAGUGUUAUGUCGUAGGCUCUUCAAGAGCACUUUGUUUCCUUAUUAUGAUCAUUUGAUCCUCCCUUUUUUCAAGGAUUAUUAUAUUUGGAACCGAUUGGUCUACCAUGCUCCAUGCAUGUUGUAGACUCUGUCCUUCAGGGACAUUAGGAGCAUUUUGCAGAUAAAAUAUGAAAUAGUUGGGUCAACAAAUGCUUCCAGCAUUUGACUUGAAUUAUCUGAGGAUCAUACUGAUGAUAAUUCACAACAUAUUUCUUAGCUGCUUAUUCUCUCCCCCUUAUUUUAGUGACAUAUGUCUCCAUUUUCUUUGGGAAAAUCCAUCUGUGUGCAUCAUGGUAUAUCCAUUAAUCAUGUACCGCACAUCAAAUGCAAAAAGAUGGAAAUAUCUAGUUCCUGACCCUGAACCAAAUUUGAGGGGAGAAUUUAUCAAAAUUUAUUGAUCUGAAGCAUACAAGUGUUGUUGUAUGCAAUAUAUCAUAUCUCAGACCAACAUCUGAAACUUUGUUCUCAUAAGCAAUGGUUUAGCUGUAUUAUGGAGUCAUCUAAUGCCAAACCAACUUAGAUAUAAACCAGCAUUAUCAAGAUGAUUGUCUUGAUUACAUAUUCUGAAAAUUGUGCUUCCAACUCAAUCAUUUUGAGCAAGCAACUUCGUAAAUGUCAAACUGCCAGUUGACAAUAAACAUACAUGUGACCGUCUCAUAGAUGCAUCUAUUUAAGACAUUAUAUAAACGGUAGAAUUUUAUAUAAAUAUAACAAAUUGGUACUACUUACCUUAGGAAGAUCAUGGCUCUAGCUUUGCUGGAAUAGUUCCAAACAAUCUUAUAAAGCCACCAUAUCAUCAACAUUAAAGGACAUUAAUGAUAACAUCUUAGCAUCUGUUUAAAGGACAUGCUCAAGGUGGCAGAGUCUUUUAAAGUAUUUGCUCGAGAUGGCAGAGUCUCGUGCUGAUAACGUGUUAUAAAAUGAAGCUAAAAGAGUAAUAAUAUUAAAGGAUGAAAACUAUAAACAUAGAGUGACAAAGAGGAGAAAUUUUAUUAUUCUUCCAAAAUGUGUUCCAAGUACAUUACAUAUAAAAACUUAUGCGUCUAUUUAUAGUGCUACAUAUGCAUUCAAUAUAUGAGAUAAUGGAAGAACCAUUAAUAUGGUGGAAGAUAAUGGAAGAGGCAUUAUAUUUGUGUAGUGGACAUCCAUUCUAUAUUUCAUAACAAUAUGGUCUUUUUCCUCCUUUUCACUACAAGUAUAUAAGGCUAGCUACUGUUUUAUGUCAACCAACCUACUUGAGAAUUGAGAUGGAUUAUACAAAAUUGUGCAUUUUUAGUGAUCCUAGUUCAGUUGGUUUGCAUAAAAAUUAAUAUAAGAAGAUGAGGAAAGAAGAUAGUAAUAACUAAUCACUGGUGGAAGCUGCCAGAGAUUCUUGCUAGAUCACAUAAACUCUUAGGACUAAUUUACUUGAUGGAAAUGGAUAAUUAGUUCAUAAAUAUGUUUUAGAUGAAAUGAUGGAUACAAAAAAAAAUGGUAGAUGAAAAGAUAAGUACAUAUUCAGAAUAAGGUUCUGGAGUGAUGUUAGAAUCUUUUUUAAGCCGAAGUUGGAUAGCUAAAGAUGCUUUAUGUUAUUCUACCAGAGUAGUAGUAUAUAUAGAUGUAAGAUACCUCCAAUAUUUCUGAAAGUUUCCUUUUUUUCCUACCCAGGACUUCUUACUUUAUCACACUGAAAAAUAAGAACUCUCUUUGGUAUAGACAUGCGAUAUUAAUUAUUUGUAUAACUUUUCCUGAUAGUACUAUUGUAAAGUUAUACAUUUGACAGACACAUGGCACCAAGAUUAACAUCGAUUGAAUAACAACUGACACGCCAAAUUGGACUUCCAAAGUCCAAAUCGUGGACAUGAGCCGUGAGCGAAAAAGUCCUGAGAAGAAAAUCAGAUUUUGGGGAUGAAGAGGGCCGUUGUGUAUGGUGAUGAUAUUGGGCAUUAUGCAGAGAAGCUUUAAAUCUCGAAGACAUCUGAUUUCCACCGCAAGAGUUCGAGUUUCGCUCACUUUAUACGGCAAACCAAUACACAAGUUUUAUUGGAUACUCGACAAAGAAACUAUAGUUGAACAUAUCAAGCCAACUGACGAGCAUGAGAAACCACUUCUAUCAUCAACUAAGCUGGAUAUCACAACUUUUGACCUCAUUGCUUAUAUGACUUCUCAUUCUUCUGUAGAAAUUGUUAUACCACUCCUAUCAAUUACUAGCAUGCUUAAUUAUAUAUGCUUAUACAUGUACGCACUCAUUAUAUUCCCUUAUAUCUUACUAGCAGACAUACUAGGAGUCGUCCUACGUUGUGGCCCUCCAAAAUAUGCAGGUCACAAUCAAAGCAGGUGUCGAGAGAUUAUUGUAGUUGACAAUCAAUUUAUCGCUACAAACUAGAUUCAACUCAACAAAAUACAUAUAUCCUGCUUACCCACAGGCGUUGGAGCUCAUCAACUGGUACUAACUUUUCAGCCUUACUUUUUAACUUGCCCUUGAACAGCAUAUUGAAUACUUUAUUUGGUGUGACAAUAGAGCAAAAACAAACAAACACAUGCUUUCAAGUUAUGCAUCAGCCAAUUUCUUUGCGUCAUCAACGUCUCUUGUAGUAACUUCUAUUCAGCAGCAAAUUAGCCCCAUUGCAGAAAUUUCAACACAAACUUUGAUAGGAGUUUUCUAUGUUGAGGCAGAAAUGUUUAUUUCAAAUGAGCUGCAGAAAUUUUGCGUGCUUGAAUGUUCAGGAUACAAACAAAAAAAGCGCACGAAAGAAAAAAGAGAAUUUGAAUGCACAAAGUGUAAUCGACAAACAACAUUAGUGCCUUAGUAUUACGUUUUCACCAUACAUAUAAAUUUCCACAAAAUAUAGCAUAUGUGUACAAAUAUUAAACUCAAUAUGGUUCCAGGUGUACCAUCUAAAUUGAUCUUAUUGAUGGCAGUGGGUCGAUUACGACAGUAAUUUCUGGAGAUAUACCUGAGAAGAUCCUCUCCAUGACAGCAUAACAUAUAUUUGAAACAACUUUGGUCAAGAAUCAACUCCUGCCCAUUGACCAUGUUCAUAAGAUGUUGUCGGACAGACUGUUCCGAAUUCAAUUAAGUAAGUCAUCCUGGAGAAGCUCGAACGACACACAGUUAUCAAUUCUGUCCUACGUAGAAAGGGAACCAAUAUUUCCAUCUAGCAUUAAUCACUGGAACACCAAAAAAUGAAGCCUAUAAGCGCAAGUAAGGUAGACAUGAAGGAAGCAGUUAUUGCAUCUGACUCUUCAAGCACAAGGCUGAAAGGUCAACCACCCACACCGGCAAAAAAGCUGUAAAAGGUCAAUCUAUUCAAAUACUUACAGUUUAGUUUGAUCAGACUUUUGAAUUGACAUGCUUGAGAUAUAAUAUAUAUUAUAUUUUCCUUUUGACUGUCUUUAUGUCAUUUAAUAUCUGGAAGUGUCGUCCUUAUUUUUGUGACUUUUGCUUACUGGAAAAAAGAUGUUUUUGGAAUCAAAUUUGUACAACUUUGCUCGAUAGGGAAGGACUGAUCAUUAGGAAUCAAGGAGGAUGAAGUAACAAAGAUGAUAUGCAGGUUAUUCAGAUUUUUUUGGCAGCCUCAAUGUUGCACAUUCACACGUACUUCAAAAUACCUCCCUGCUAUGUGAUUUUUGCAAUAGCAAAGGUUGACUACUAAAAUUAGGGGAUUGUAGCUCCUGCUCAUAUGAAAUGAUAAAUGAAGAUGUACUUGAAGAUGUUAUUUGAAUAUAGUUAUGCUAAACAAUGUUUGGUUGGCUAAGGAAUGGAAAUGAUAAGAAAUGCUGAAAAAAGGACAACUUGGAGCAAAAGGACGGUCCGUAACUCGAGUUACGGACCGUAACGUGGUUCGUACCCUGAGAGGAAGAUCCAGAUACGUGCCGCUCAAAAGGACGGUCCGUAACUCAUGUUACGGGCCGUAACAUGUACCGUAAUAUGAAGGAAAUUUCCAGUAAGAAGCCUAAGUAUUGACAUAUGUUACGCCCAGAAGGACGGCCCGUAACGCAGGUUACGGGGCGUAACGUCAUGGCGUAACACAUUGGCCACUGAAGACUGAAGCCAUGAUCGGCUGGAAGAUACAGACUGUAACCUGUGUUACGGUCCGUCGAAAGAAGUCGUAACGGUUGACCUAAUAUCAAGCUGACAAAGGACGGAACCGAAGGACGAACCGUAAACUGUGUUACAAUCCGUAACGAUGCCGCGAAGGGUGUUUUUGUCCAGAACUUUAGCGCGAUUUUUGGCCCUAUAAAUACUUAAAGUUAGGUUUUUAAUAUUGAUUCAGAUCGUUUGGGAGCAUUAACUUUAAGCCUUGGAUAUUUGUGAAGUUGUUGGAGUAUUUAAAGCAUCAAUUUCACCCUCAUUCCAUAUUGUAUUAGUAUUGUAAGUACAUUAUGUUAACUUUUAAGCUUUCUUUGCUAAACAAAAUGAUGAGUAGCUAAUUUUAGUUCUAAGGUUGUGGAC